rnacentral:lncRNA from 1 species
UGGCAAGCAGAUCUUAGUAACCAAAGGUACUCGUAAACCGUUGUAAAACUCAAUUCAAGUAAUUUUCCACAUUCAAGUGCAGAUUUAUAUUUUCUCAAAACAUCUGCUAUUCUUGGAACAUUUUCCGAUGUCACUAGUUGUGGAUAUGUUUCUAUACGGUGACAAAAUUUGGAUACCUAUGCAUAAAGACGACAGCAUAGCCACGAUCGAGGAAAUAUUCAGUGGAGGAAGAGCCUCUCGUACCUGCGCUGAAGUUAUCCACAAAGCGAACGGUAUUGUGUUCCAAUGGAACAGUUGUCCCGCCACUCUACAUCGAGCGCAAUAAAGCGAGAGGUUGGAUACGUUAUCAGGGCACCUAACCUCAAUUAUUGUCAAUCACGGACUUCACCACGUAUCUUGAUAUAAAAAAUGGGAACAAGGUGAUCCUGGUGAUUCCAGAAUAAAAAAAGGUAAGAGAUUCAAAACCUCUCAAAACUUGAUCUCAAAAUCGAUUCAGACGACCCUUUCGAGACUAAUUGGAGAGCAAGGAUUACUAAACAGGCACUCAUGAAAUCUAUGGAUCUGAUGCUAACAAAGAACAAUGAGAAUAUGGACCUAUUUCUUUAUUGAUUCAUCUUAAUCUGAGUUACAUACAAUAGUAACAAUACAAUAUCAAACAUAAUGUUUGCUGCAAAGGCACAUUGCGCCAAUGCACACACGAAAGCUAGAACUUAAACUGCACAUAAGAAAAACAAUGAUACCUAUAUCACGUAACAUUAUUCACAUUCUGCUAUAGUCCACGUAGAUCAGAUUUAUUUCUACUGGUGGAAUGGAAAGAUUCGUUCUCUAACGUUCUAUGUAUAUUUUUAUUUUUUUUUUUGUUUUUUGUUUGCCAAUCAAUUGAAUACUAUUAAGCUUGAUUUCGAAGUACUAUACACUGACACCCAAACAAUUGUACUAGAAGUAGGUAUUAUUUGAUGAAUU